CCUACGGGAGGCAGCAGUGGGGAAUAUUGCGCAAUGGGGGAAACCCUGACGCAGCGACGCCGCGUGAGCGAAGAAGGCCUUAGGGUCGUAAAGCUCUGUUUUAAGGGACGAAUGUCGCGGGUAAUAAUACGAUCUGCGAAUGACGGUACCUUAAGAGGAAGCCCCGGCUAACUACGUGCCAGCAGCCGCGGUAAU
rnacentral:rRNA from 1 species